GGUGGUGGGGAGCAAGCAGGGCAGGCUUUAGGCCUAUUCGCCUAAUUCCUAGGAAUCAGGCCCCACGCCUCAGAGGGCCCCGCGC